UGUUAACAGGUCAUUUUCUGCAGUCCUUACUCAGGCAACACUCCCAUUUAAUGAAUGCAGUGGCACAGGAACCAGCAAAAAGAGCUAAAAACCAGGGGUGUUUGAGUGGCAAUCAGCUGGAGAAGGGAGGAGAUGACAAUAUCCAGUUAAACAGAGCAGUGUUUCUCAAAUGCG